rnacentral:rRNA from 1 species
UACGAAGGGGGCUAGCGUUGUUCGGAAUCACUGGGCGUAAAGCGCACGCAGGCGGAUCGAUAAGUCGGGGAUGAAAGCCCGGAGCUCAACCUCGGAAUUGCCUUCGAUACUGUCGGUCUCGAGUCCGGGAGAGGUGAGUGGAAUUCCUAGUGUAGAGGUGAAAUUCGUAGAUAUUAGGAAGAACACCAGUGGCGAAGGCGGCUCACUGGCCCAGUACCGACGCUCAGGUGCGAAAGCGUGGGGAGCAAACAGG